rnacentral:lncRNA from 1 species
AAUUUAUCUAACGGUGGAUCAUGCACAUAUAGCACUGACAGAAAUAAUGACGUAAAUUAAAUACGUGACUACAAUAAUUUUGAUUAAAAAAAUAUAUAAGAAGAAGAAAAUUUACAAAUGAAAAAGAAAGAAAAUAAACCCCCUCCAAAAUAAGUAUUCCGCCUCAGUCCUUUAUGUUUUUUUUCCUUUCUCCGUUGACGUCUGCGCCUUCCCCCGCCUCCCCUUUUCUUUUCUUUUUCCCCCUCUCCAAUCUUUCCUCGCUUCUUUCUCUUUUUGUUUCAACGCCCAGCAGCAGUGAAAAAUAAAAUAAUAGAUAUUGUCAAAAAAAAUUAUCAAUCCUGUCUUUCACUUUAACUCCCUCUCCCCUUUUUAUCGAUCUCAAAUUGGAAGACAACAAAGAGAAAGACUAUUGAAAAAUUGAUAAAUUUUGGUUGGAAAACUCUUCUUAUGCAAUCUGACUUCUUCUUUCUUUUUGAUUUUACCAUUCGUAUCCUUCUUUGACAUAACUUCGCCGACCUUGAUAGAAUUUUAGUAUGUGGCCUAUUGACUCUUUAACUUGGGAUAUGAAUUUUAUGAAUUUUGCUAGAAGUGAGAGAUGGAAUUUUCCCCCGAUGGCAACUCUGAUGUGUAGAAGAAAUAGUGAAAUAAAUAAAAUAAGAAAAGAAAUUUUGAUAAAUUAGUUUUUAAAAAGGGACCCACAAAUGAAAUAUAUAAAAU